rnacentral:rRNA from 1 species
CCUACGGGGGGCAGCAGUGAGGAAUAUUGGUCAAUGGGCGGAAGCCUGAACCAGCCAAGUCGCGUGAGGGAAUAAGGCCCUACGGGUCGUAAACCUCUUUUGCCGGGGAGCAAGGGCCGGGACGAGUCCCGGUCCGGAGAGUACCCGGAGAAAAAGCAUCGGCUAACUCCGUGCCAGCAGCCGCGGUAAUACGGAGGAUGCGAGCGUUACCCGGAUUUAUUGGGUUUAAAGGGUGCGUAGGCGGGCUCUUAAGUCAGCGGUAAAAGUUCGGGGCUCAACCCCGUCCGGCCGUUGAAACUGGGGGG